GACGAACGCUGGCGGCGUGCUUAACACAUGCAAGUCGAACGGAAAGGCCCUGCUUUUGUGGGGUGCUCGAGUGGCGAACGGGUGAGUAACACGUGAGUAACCUGCCCUUGACUUUGGGAUAACUUCAGGAAACUGGGGCUGAUACCGGAUAGGAGCUCCUGCUGCAUGGUGGGGGUUGGAAAGUUUCGGCGGUUGGGGAUGGACUCGCGGCUUAUCAGCUUGUUGGUGGGGUAGUGGCUUACCAAGGCUUUGACGGGUAGCCGGCCUGAGAGGGUGACCGGCCACAUUGGGACUGAGGUACGGCCCAGACUCCUACGGGAGGCAGCAGUGGGGAAUAUUGCACAAUGGGCGGAAGCCUGAUGCAGCAACGCCGCGUGCGUGAUGACGGCCUUCGGGUUGUAAACCGCUUUCGCCUGUGACGAAGCGUGAGUGACGGUAAUGGGUAAAGAAGCACCGGCUAACUACGUG
rnacentral:rRNA from 1 species